AAGUCGAACGAGAGAUGAGGAGCUUGCUCUUCAAAUCGAGUGGCGAACGGGUGAGUAACGCGUGGGUAACCUGCCUUGUACAGGGGGAUAACAGUUGGAAACGGCUGCUAAUACCGCAUAAGCCCACGGUACCGCAUGGUACUGAGGGAAAAGGAUUUAUUCGCUUUAGGAUGGACCCGCGUUGGAUUAGCUAGUUGGUGAGGUAACGGCCCACCAAGGCGACGAUCCAUAGCCGACCUGAGAGGGUGACCGGCCACAUUGGGACUGAGACACGGCCCAAACUCC
rnacentral:rRNA from 1 species